rnacentral:rRNA from 1 species
CGCUGGCGGUAUGCUUAACACAUGCAAGUCGAACGGAAACGAUACUAGCUUGCUAGUAGGCGUCGAGUGGCGGACGGGUGAGUAACGCGUAGGAAUCUGCCUGAUAGUGGGGGAUAGCCCGGAGAAAUUCGGAUUAAUACCGCAUAAUCUAUUCGUAGUAAAGUGGGGGACUUUCGAGCCUCACGCUAUCAGAUGAGCCUGCGUAAGAUUAGCUUGUUGGUAGGGUAAAAGCCUACCAAGGCGACGAUCUUUAGCUGGUCUGAGAGGAUGAUCAGCCACAUCGGGACUGAGACACGGCCCGAACUCCUACGGGAGGCAGCAGUGGGGAAUAUUGGACAAUGGGGGCAACCCUGAUCCAGCAAUACCGCGUGUGUGAAGAAGGCCUGAGGGUUGUAAAGCACUUUCAAUUGUGAAGAAAAGUUAACGGUUAAUAACCGUUAGCCUUGACGUUAACUUUAGAAGAAGCACCGGCUAACUCCGUGCCAGCAGCCGCGGUAAUACGGAGGGUGCAAGCGUUAAUCGGAAUUACUGGGCGUAAAGCGUGCGUAGGUGGUUUAUUAAGUCAGAUGUGAAAGCCCCGGGCUUAACCUGGGAACUGCAUUUGAAACUGGUAAACUAGAGUAUGGUAGAGGAAAGUGGAAUUUCUGGUGUAGCGGUGAAAUGCGUAGAUAUCAGAAGGAACAUCAAUGGCGAAGGCAGCUUUCUGGACCAAUACUGACACUGAGGUACGAAAGCGUGGGUAGCAAACAGGAUUAGAUACCCUGGUAGUCCACGCCGUAAACGAUGAUAACUAGCCGUUGGGGGGAUUUACCCUUUAGUGGCGAAGCUAACGCGUUAAGUUAUCCGCCU